rnacentral:rRNA from 1 species
GACGAACGCUGGCGGCGUGCUUAACACAUGCAAGUCGAACGGAAAGGCCCUGCUUUUGUGGGGUGCUCGAGUGGCGAACGGGUGAGUAACACGUGAGUAACCUGCCCCUGACUUUGGGAUAACUUCAGGAAACUGGGGCUAAUACCGGAUAGGAGCUCCUGCUGCAUGGUGGGGGUUGGAAAGUUUCGGCGGUUGGGGAUGGACUCGCGGCUUAUCAGCUUGUUGGUGGGGUAGUGGCUUACCAAGGCUUUGACGGGUAGCCGGCCUGAGAGGGUGACCGGCCACAUUGGUCCUGAGAGACGGCCCAGACUGCUACGGGAGGCAGCAGUGGGAAAUAUUGCACAAUGGGCGGAAGCGUGAUGUGGCAACCCCGCGUGCGGGAUGCCGGCCUUCGGGGUGUAAACCGCUUUCGCCUGUGACGAGGCGUGCGUGACGGUAAUGGGUAAAGAAGCACCGGCUAACUACGUG